GAUACCAUUGUUAGCCACUUAACACAUGAAAGUUACAUAAAAAACUAGAGAGAGAAUAAAAGACAAAAGUUGUAACGUCCCGAACCCAAAUUCACCCGUUUACUAGUCAUUUGGACGGUAAACGACCUUUACUUUCACUUUUACUUUCGGUUUAGUACUUUUAGUGGCCCUAAAAGUCUACUUUUUGUUCGGGUCAAAAUUUGAGAAAAUGUUCUUCAUGGAAGUUGUAGGGGACGUUAAACCGAGCGCGUGCAUAUGUGGUAUGUAAAAAUCGGAGCUCGCAUGCGAAAGUUAUAAGCGAAAUAGUAAAGUUACUGUUCAUUGGUAGUUAGUAUAUAUUUGAAAUUUUUUACUAUGGCCGGUAACUCUUUUCUCUCUCCCCCUUUCCCCCCGUUUUCUUCUUCGUCUCCCCGAGCUGUCGCUCUCUCUUUCUCUCCUCUGCAACUCCGGUUGCUUUCUCUUUCCGGCCACCAAAAAGCGUGAAACCGGUGGCUACGGACUCGUCUCGACUUCCUCUUGGCGCUGGCGGUGGUGGCUCACGGCGGCUUGGCCAAAAAACGACGCAUCAAGCCUUAGAAGUUUACUGUAGCAGUUUGAGUCAACGCCGAUUUCUUCCUAUUCCGGCCACCUCCGACGACGAACCAUAAUCAUUUGGAAGCGGCUUGCGAUGUAGAUGAUGCUCCCCAAAUAUUUUGCAACGAUUUGCAGUGUAGAGGAAGAAUCGACGAUUGGAAGAUUACGGUCACUAUUCACAGUUUGAGUUCAAGCUUCUCCUUAAUUGUUGAGGUACUUCCGCUCAUUUUCUAACUUAGUUACAGUUGAAAGAAUUAUUGGGUCCGUUGAGUAGGUGCUGCUGCCAAAGUUUGGUGGCCAUCGGAGCUGGUGGCGGUGGCGGUGGCGCCGCCACUGUGGGCGGCGGUAGCGGCGGCUAGGGUAGCUUUUUAAUUUCAAUUUCUGGCUAGUUGAAUUCUAUAAUUAUCAUAGAGAUUGUAUGUGAAGUUUGGUAAUUUUUGGAGGAGUUUGGAAUUAAUUGUGAAUUUCCGAAGUUCGAAGUUUUGUGAUUGAAUUGUGGGAAAUCCGGCCGUCGGAUUUCCCUCAUUUUCAUUGUGGAUUAUGUAAAUUGAGGAAUUGGUGUUGUGGAAGAGAUUUGGGUGGAAUUUGAGAAGUAAUGGAGAUAGGGAUUUUCGGGUUUCGUUUAGGUUCGUAAUUAUUUAUUCGGAUUGUCGUUUAUGGAAAUGUACUUGUGUACAGGACGAUGUUGCGAGCUACGGCUAGAUGAAGGAACUCGUUUACAUGGUCGCCCAAUAGUACUGUGAGUGGACUUUUGUUUUUAAAUAAUGAUGCAUGCAUUUAUUUCUUAUAGUAAUGCUCUAAUUAUUUAUCGUAUUACAUUUUGAGCAUAUAAUUGUUUUCGGAUUUUGAUUUCGAUUUAUCUCAAGGAAUUACUUUCAUUGAUGAGUUUCAUGAAGUGAUUAUAAAUUAUUCCAGUUGUGAUUUUCGGAUAUUAAUUUUGUUAUGCCCGGAUUCGAAAUGAUGAUUUAUGUUGUUUUUCAACAAAGUAUUUUCUAUGGUAUUUAUUUUAAAGUGGAAUAUUAGUUCAUUAUUGAACUUCCUUGCUUAUUCAUUAUUGACCCGAGAAUAUUUUGGCGUGUGGGACACGCCGUUGAUUUACUGAUCUUUCCUAUUUAUUUAUCGACUUUCGAUUUUGGCAUUGGGAAUGCCUUGAUGAUGAUUUUAGAAUUUGUUUUGUUUCGGUUUACGGGGAUUACGAGAGAUGGGGGAAGCCUUAUGUAUUUUGGAUUUACAGGAUUUUCGGUUAUGUUUCCCUGUGCCAUACUGAGGGGUGAUUUUAUCAUGCUAGCAUUGAUUUUCCGCCUUUGUGGCGCGGUGAUGGGAUCACCGUAGCCCUUCCGCCUUUGUGGCGCAGGUUACUGUCUCUGUGACAAUAAUUCUGUAGCCCAGUAUCCUAUCGCUACACUUAGUGGCGUAAGGGUAUAUUACGGGAGUUAUGGGAGUUCUUUAGCCUGGGAGGCUAUCACCCAACCAAGCAUGCGUGGCUUAUUCGUAUGGCUAUCAUCUUCCCCUAUUUAUACUAUUUGACUAGCGGGGACUAGUCUGAGUUUCCUUAACCAGCGGGGCUGGACUUAUAUUUUCGAGUUUUGAAAUUUCAAUCUUUUACUCUACUGUCGUGACUAGCGGGGCUAGUCGGUUUUCUGGAGUUCAAUGUUUUUCGGAUUAUUUUCUUAAGUGUUUUAUAAAUGUUGCAUGCAUCCGGAUUUUAUAUAUAUCGAAAAAUGUGGGAAAGUAUAAAAUCCAUUUGGUUUAUAUUUGUUUAUUUUUGUCCACUCACGCUAACGUUUUUAUGUACUUUCCCCUGGGCCCUUCGGUUUCAAAUGCCCAGUUUGCAGGCGAAAUUAGUUGAGGUCGGGCGUACAUGGAGUCGAGGCAUAGCCAACAGCAUUGCUUCCGCGUACUCAUUCUAUUUCUGUUUUCUUUGUUACCUAGUGGAUUAGUAUUGCUCUGAUAACCUAUGGGAUUAAUAUUGUUUUUGAGUUGAGACUGAUAUUUGUGAAAUUGGAGUUGUGAUUUGGGGAGCAGAUGGCUCCAGGAGAUUAAGGAUGGAUGAUUUAGAAGUGUAAAUGUUUUCCUACAGGUUUUGGGUUGCCUACUUUUAGGGGAAGUUCCGCCAAAUUUUUGGUAGAAUCUCUUCUAAAGUGGGCCCCGCAGGGCCACUUCGGAUUUCAGGGUGAAAUCUGGGGCGGGUCCUGUCAGUUGGUAUCAGAGCAUUAGGUUGUUAGGUUCUGUAGACUCGUUUCUAUUCUGUUACCUUAUAUGCUUGGUGUUGCCCAGUACCUCUCGAGUGAUGGCCCGACUGCAGCGGUUCCCCAUCGUGUACUCUUCGGUGCUGUGGUAUCCAUCAAGUGUGUAAGGUACAAAGCUAGUUGGUUUUCUUCUGGUGCUAUGCCUCUUGUACGCCGACCUCUUAGGGAUUCCGCUGCGUAUUGGUCUCCUUACAUAUGCACCUUUCCCUGGUAUUGGUAGAGUAAGGCUACUCUACAGAUUCGAGUUGUGCUAUGAAAUGUGAUUCGAGGAAAUGUUAUGAUUAUCCCUUCCUCGAUGCCGACAAGUUGUUGGGGCAUGGUUAAGGUGCGAGAUGGGAGUUUUAUUUUGUACCCGAUGGUUAGAGAUGAGCGACCAUUGUUUUGGGCUGUCGCUGAGUACUAUAAUUAAUUCAGAAUCAGGAUUGUUGUUAGAAUUGGAAUUAGUAGUAAUGAUGGUUCUUACCUUGAAUUGAGUUUUGAAGAAUGUGUUACUUGAUACGAUCGGCCCUGUAAACGGCAUGAGGAAUAUUACUGGAAUUCGAUGGAGAUUCUUUGUGAAUCUCAUUGUUGGAAAUCAUUUAUAGAAAAUUCACAUUGGAAUGUAUUUCAAUUGGACACCUUAUGUCGGCGUCAUGUACGCAUCACCUUUGGUAGACAACAGAGAAAAUUGAAGAGAUGUCCUGGGUUGUUAUGUCUAGAGGCUGUGUUUUCAAGUGGCUAUGGUCACUGAUGUUGGUAAGUGGGAAGAGAUAACAGUAAAUGAGAAUUUUAAAUAGAAUGAAAUUUUUUUUAAAAAUUGUCGAUUUGGGUCGUUGACCUAACCAGGGUGUAUGAGCAUAGUUUUGCUCGGAAUAAAAGAAAUUGACUUUAGAUACCACAACUUAUAGUUUUGUCUACCUGAGUCUUGGAUGGUAUCGAGUAGGGAGAUGAACAUGAGUGGGUUUUUAUAGUUAUGUGCUUGAAGUUCUAGAAUCGGUAGAAUGCUUAAGGUUUUAUAAUAGAGUUACUGUUUUGGUCGGUAAAUAAUUGGGAGAGUUGGAAUCAACUCUUCGUAUGUGAUAUUAUAUAAAUGGGUGUCCGUGGUUAUCCACUUUUGAGUGAAACAGUUACACAUAAGAUUGGGGAAUAGCGGUAAUGACCUUGUUGGGUGUCCAUAGAAGUUCGAACGGAAUUACUAUGUGAUACGGAAUCUGAUUCGAGUUUUGAAUCAUGGAGCCUUGAAGGUUGAAUUGUGAUAGGCUCUUGGUGGAAGUUUUGCCUGACGGAUGGGUUGUGAUAUGAUAUUAACGGUUGGUGGAAUAACUUUAAGGAAAUAAGUUUUCAGUUGGAUCCGGAAAUAUUUUAAGUCAAGGUUUCACCAGGACUCUUGAUAUUUUGGGUGGAAGGUAUUGUAGCAUGUUUUUAAGUGAUGUACUUCAGUGAUGAUUACUUUGAGGAAAUUGGAUCAUUAUUGUAGUGGGACCACGUUCGGAUCCGGAUAUCGCUUAGUGUGCUACAAGAUAUUGGACGGGUGUCCUGUGAUUUAUAUAAAGGAUUGUUCAGGAAAGAUCUUGUGAAUUGUGUUAGCUACCUUGGGGGAUUGAUUAUUGCCUGAAUCGAAUAUACGUAAUGGAUUCUUGUUAUAGCUGAAAUUUUAUAAGUUAAGCGUCGAUCGAGGAGCGGAUUUGUGGCUAUCUUAUCCUCUUUUCGGUAAGGACCGUCGUCCUUUAUCAGCAUUGGCCUUAAGUUAAAUAAGAAGAGUUGACUAUAUUCUAGUACUUGCAAGUUCAACGUUGUUUGACAUGACUGAUAUUUGGUGAUUCUUGUAACAUCAGAUAAUGAACUUCUUUGAUAUCUCAUUUUCUUGUCUUGGGAGUUAGAUUUUUGUUUCUGUGGUACGCAAAGUGUUACUUGUUUAAUUAUUUGACUUUGAGCUUUUCCAUUUGGGCUCUUAUUCGACUUUCUCUCCAGGUUGUAUUGAGUAAAAGAGUUUUUGCAAAUUUUUGCUUAGUAGUGGAUAAGACUUUUCGGUAAUGCUUGAGGGCAUAUCUAUACUUUAGAACUGUUGAGUCAACAAGGGAUGCUGUGAAUUUUAUUGGGAUUGUGGUCUCUGACUAGAUUCCAGCUUGAGGAUUUUUUUUCAUUUCAAAUGUUGAAUUUCUUUUCCUGUUGGUCAGAUUUUGGAUCAGAUUUGGAACAAUUUCUAGUGUUGUUUGAUGCAUCAUAGUCCAUUAGAGGUAUGUGUCCAUUAAAGGAUUUGACACAUACAGAAUUUAGAACUUUUCUAUAAUGUCAUACCUGUAGUAGAAUUGUUAUGAGGUGAUGUCGGACAGAUGGUUGGAAAUGUUCUACUUGGGACUGGUGGAGCAGUUAUGAGAGAGAGUUUUUCUAAUUAUCUAAGGAAGUUAUUUUAUUUGAGUUUGAUCAGAAUUCCAAUCAAGUAUUUAAUAAUACGGAUAGUGGUGUUUUCGGUUGUGAGAAUUACAUUGGUAUAUGGAUUAAGAAUAUCAAUUGGGGCAACAGAGAUCAACGAGAACGACAUGGAUUCAACCAGAUUUUAGAUCUAUGACUAUUAAAGAAGUGUAGCUUCGGCUAAGAACAACUUGAGUGUGAUGCAUCUUCUUCCGGAUAUGAUUCGUUGAGCUGGAGUAGAGUUAGUAGUUAUAAUUCUUGCUUGCACUGGAUUUUUGAGGAUGUGGUACAUGACAUGGUAGUUAAGCGAGUACUAACUUGUAAGAAUUAUUAGCAGUUUUGAUCGGAGACAUUUGUAAAUAGUAAAUUUCUUGUGACACAUUUGAUUUAGAAAAGUUUUUCCACAUUAUCGUAUUUAUAAAAGUUUUUGAGUGAGGUGUUAUAUGUGUGGCCAGUAAGGUAGCUAUCAAAUGAGUUUUCUUAGUCGGCUCGGAACGUCAUCUCAAGGCUGGACUAAUGAUUUUAGUCAGAUAUUAGAGUAGUGCAGGGGAAGUGUAGUGGCCCCAUAAUCUACUUGAUUAAGAACUUAUAGGUUCGUUUGAGGUCGACCUUUGUAUGUUUGACAACUAUGGGACCUUUACGUGAGCGACAUUCGAUUAGGAACUUAUGCACAAACAAGGAAGUGCUGUCUUGUGGUAGCUAAGGAAGUGAUGUCUUUUGGAAUUGUUGAUUAGCAGUGACCAUCUUGUGGCAUGGUUAUCACAAUGUUGUUGGUAAAUGGGUUGGAUUUUCACUAAGCGACUUUUGUGAGAAAGUUAUGAAUGCUAUAAUUUUAACAGGGUGAUUUGUGACGUUAAUACCAUGUGUUAUCUGAGCUAACCAUUGAAAUGAAUUUUCUUUUACACCGGAAUUCAUGUACUUGCGAGUUUAUGGUGCUACAUGGUUUAACAAGACAAGUGAAUCGACUUUGGACGUUGAUAAUUUUGGAUUAUAGGCAUGUCUUCAUUACUUUUGUAGUGGGGAUCAUAAGAGUUUCUGUGGUUGUUGAUUUGAGGUUGCGAAAAGGAAAGCUUAAUCUAAGUUAGAGUUGGUAAGUUUUGAGAUUGUGGUAUUUUGAAUCAAUUGGUGUGUUCUUUCUUUCUAACCAGCAUGAAAUUUCGAGGGCGAAAUUUUUAUAAGAAGGGGAGAUUGUAACGUCCCGAACCCAAAUUCACCCGUUUACUAGUCAUUUGGACGGUAAACGACCUUUACUUUCACUUUUACUUUCGGUUUAGUACUUUUAGUGGCCCUAAAAGUCUACUUUUUGUUCGGGUCAAAAUUUGAGAAAAUGUUCUUCAUGGAAGUUGUAGGGGACGUUAAACCGAGCGCGUGCAUAUGUGGUAUGUAAAAAUCGGAGCUCGCAUGCGAAAGUUAUAAGCGAAAUAGUAAAGUUACUGUUCAUUGGUAGUUAGUAUAUAUUUGAAAUUUUUUACUAUGGCCGGUAACUCUUUUCUCUCUCCCCCUUUCCCCCCGUUUUCUUCUUCGUCUCCCCGAGCUGUCGCUCUCUCUUUCUCUCCUCUGCAACUCCGGUUGCUUUCUCUUUCCGGCCACCAAAAAGCGUGAAACCGGUGGCUACGGACUCGUCUCGACUUCCUCUUGGCGCUGGCGGUGGUGGCUCACGGCGGCUUGGCCAAAAAACGACGCAUCAAGCCUUAGAAGUUUACUGUAGCAGUUUGAGUCAACGCCGAUUUCUUCCUAUUCCGGCCACCUCCGACGACGAACCAUAAUCAUUUGGAAGCGGCUUGCGAUGUAGAUGAUGCUCCCCAAAUAUUUUGCAACGAUUUGCAGUGUAGAGGAAGAAUCGACGAUUGGAAGAUUACGGUCACUAUUCACAGUUUGAGUUCAAGCUUCUCCUUAAUUGUUGAGGACGAUGUUGCGAGCUACGGCUAGAUGAAGGAACUCGUUUACAUGGUCGCCCAAUAGUACUUUUGCAGGCGAAAUUAGUUGAGGUCGGGCGUACAUGGAGUCGAGGCAUAGCCAACAGCAUUGCUUCCGCGUACUCAUUCUAUUUCUGUUUUCUUUGUUACCUAGUGGAUUAGUAUUGCUCUGAUAACCUAUGGGAUUAAUAUUGUUUUUGAGUUGAGACUGAUAUUUGUGAAAUUGGAGUUGUGAUUUGGGGAGCAGAUGGCUCCAGGAGAUUAAGGAUGGAUGAUUUAGAAGUGUAAAUGUUUUCCUACAGGUUUUGGGUUGCCUACUUUUAGGGGAAGUUCCGCCAAAUUUUUGGUAGAAUCUCUUCUAAAGUGGGCCCCGCAGGGCCACUUCGGAUUUCAGGGUGAAAUCUGGGGCGGGUCCUGUCAAAAGUUCCAAAUACAAAUAAGUUCAAUUCGAUUAUGACCAUUUUAAUCAAAUAGGCCUAGUAUGAGCGUGCUUCAACAAUUAAGUCCAAUUAAGUAUAACAUAGAGAAAAGAUUUGUUGUUAUCUGAUAAAGUUUUGGUUUAUUAUACAAUUACUAUAUCUUAGUGAGUGAAAAUCUAAACUAGUUGUAUUAUCAAACACAACAUAAUAGAAAUAACAUAGAAUAUUGUGUUAUUGUGAAGCACUGACUUAUCCAAAAAAGUAGUAAGCAUCAAUAGGUUUACACUAUUAUAAGCAUUAAAAGAACACUAAUAAAGAAUAAGAUUGAUUAAGAGUAUUACAGAGCUUUACCAAAUGU